rnacentral:rRNA from 1 species
AGGAUGAACGCUGGCGGCGUGCCUAACACAUGCAAGUCGAACGUCCUGUCUCGCAAGAGGCAGGGAGUGGCGGACGGGUGAGUACCACGUGGGUCAUCUACCGUGAGGUGAGGAAUACCGGCGAGAAAUCGCCGACAAGACCGCAUAGCCUCGGUGCAAGCCGAGGAAAGCUUUCUCGAGAGAGGGAGCGCCACACGAGGAGCCUGCGCCCGAUUAGCUAGCUGGUGGAGUAACGGUUCACCAGGGCGACGAUCGGUAGCUGGUCUGAGAGGACGAUCAGCCACACUGGGAUUGAGAACGGCCCAGACUCCUACGGGGGGCAGCAGUGAGGAAUUUUCGUCAAUGGGGCAACCCUGAACGAGCAACGCCGCGUGCAGGAAGAAGGUUUCGGAUCGUAAACUGCUUUUCUCGGGGAAGAGAACGGACGGUACCCGAGGAAUCAGCCCGGCUAACUACGUGCCAGCAGCCGCGGUAA